UGAAUACGAGACGCUAAGGCGUCGAAGUAGUGUAUGUCAUACUUCCAAGAAAAGCUUGCACUGUCAUAGAUAAAAAACGCCUGUACCAUAACCGACACAGGUGGGUAGGUAGAGUAUACUAAGGGGCGCGAGAUAACUCUCUCUAAGGAACUCGGCAAAAUAACUCCGUAACUUCGGGAGAAGGAGUGCCUUAUUCGUAAGGUUGCAAUAACAAGAUCCAAGCAACUGUUUAUCAAAAACACAGGUCUCCGCUAAGUCGUAAGACGAUGUAUGGGGGCUGACGCCUGCCCAGUGCCAGAAGGUUAAAGAAGUUGGUUAGCAAUUGCGAAGCUGAUAACUGAAGCCCUGGUGAACGGCGGCCGUAACAAUAACGGUCCUAAGGUAGCGAAAUUCCUUGUCGGGUAAGUUCCGACCCGCACGAAAGGCGUAAUGAUUUGGAUACUGUCUCGGAGAGGGGCUCGGUGAAAUAGACUUGUCUGUGAAGAUGCGGACUACCUGCACCAGGACAGAAAGACCCUAUGAAGCUUUACUGUAACUUGAAAUUGAAAUUGGACUUUAUUCGCGCAGUAUAGGUGGGAGGCGUUGAUUAUAAUCUUGUGGGAUUAUUGGAGCCAUCAGUGAGAUACCACUCUUGUAAUGUUAGAUUUCUAACUUUGAAUCAUUAUCUGGUCAAAGAACAGUUUCAGGCGGGCAGUUUGACUGGGGCGGUCGCCUCCUAAACGGUAACGGAGGCGUACAAAGGUUUCCUCUGAACGGUUAGAAAUCGUAUCUAGAGUGUAAAGGCAUAAGGAAGCUUGACUGUGAGACCUACAAGUCGAGCAGGGACGAAAGUCGGUCUUAGUGAUCUGACGGUACUGAGUGGAAAGGCCGUCACUCAACGGAUAAAAGUUACUCUAAGGAUAACAGGCUGAUCUCCCCCAAGAGUUCACAUCGACGGGGAGGUUUGGCACCUCGAUGUCGGCUCAUCGCAUCCUGGGGCGGUAGUACGUCCCAAGGGUUGGGCUGUUCGCCCAUGAAAGCGGUACGCGAGCUGGGUUCAGAACGUCGUGAGACAGUUCGGUCCAUAUCCGGUGUAGGCGUUAGAAUAUUGAGAGGAGCCUUCUUUAGUACGAGAGGACCGAGAAGGACAUACCUCUGGUGUACCAGUUAUCGUGCCAACGGUAUACGCUGGGUAGCUAUGUAUGGAGUGGAUAACCGCUGAAAGCAUCUAGGUGGGAAGCCCACCUCAAGAUAAGUAUUCUC
rnacentral:rRNA from 1 species